UAGAUCAAGAACCAAAGAAAUCAGAGUUAGAUCGAGGAAAAGUUAAAGUCGUCGACUAAUCGUCCGGUUUCGAUUUUACACUGUCCGAGAUCAAGCUUCAAGCUCGGGGAUCGUCAGCAAGAUCAUCACUCUAUCUACUGUCUCGGUAUUAAACUGUUUAAAUUUUAAUUAUGGCAUGUACAGGCUAGAUAAAUGUUUUGGAAAGUCGUACUUUGAUAUAUUGUAUAUGAAAUUAAUAGUCAUACGAAAAUUACUUA